GUGCAAAUAUGACAGUGUGUUUUGUGCAAGCUGAGGGAGUAGAGCAAAAAACCUCAUUAGGGUAACAAAGGGAACCUGUCUUCUGUGGAAAACAGCUUGCCAGAUGAUGCACUGCUUACUGAAGGCAGCUGCGCUCCACUGGUGCCGUUCCUCCAGGCCAGUUCUGGAGUACAGAGUCAAACACAAGCAUUGCUUUGACUCCUGUAUGAUAUUAGAGAAGAUCACUGACUUCAGGGAAUUAAUCACUAGGCACCAGGAAAGGGUUGCUGGAAUAACAGAUGUGCCAGAUCUUAAAACCAGAAGUUUUGUCUUUCACCUUCAUCAUGUUUAGUAAGGAUAUGAGACUUGGUGGUUUUGAGACUCCUCCUGAAUCCCACGAAGAUAUUUUAGGUGAGUCAGCUUCUUGAGGUCUGUCUCCCCAAAACUUGCUAUUCUCAAAUAUAUGCUCAUGGUAGAAGUGUUUCUGUGGGAACAAAUGCAUUCUAAGCUAUACUCACAGUAUUUGUCAUGCUACAUGAUGAUAUGCUGCCCAGCGAGCACUACAUAACUUGUUUAGUACUAAGCUUAUUCUCAUCUGUAUUCUCAGAUGUUGUAGCUAUACAGCAGCCAGUGACUGAAUACAGAUUCUUUAUUGCUGGUAGUUUUGCUAGGUGUAAAUAAUAAAAUGGAGAAACAGUGCGAAGCCCUGAGAUCC
rnacentral:lncRNA from 1 species